rnacentral:rRNA from 1 species
GAUGAACGCUGACAGCCUGCUUAACACAUCAGCAAUUGAUUGGUGGCGGACGGGGGAGUAACGCGUAAAGAACUUGCCUCACAGGUAAGGACAACAUUUGGAAACAAAUGCUAAUACCUAAUACUUUGAGAGAGCUUUGCGUCCCAUUAGCUAGUUGGAGAGGUAACGGCUCACCACGGCGAUGAUGGGUAGCCGGCCUGGGAGGGUGAUCGGCCACAAGGGGACUUAGACAGGGCCAUUACUCCUUCGGGAGGCAGCGGUGGGGAAUAUUGGACAAUGGACCAAAGUCUGAGCCAGCAAUUCUGUGUGCACGAUGAAUUUUUCGGAAUGUAAAGUGCUUUCAGUUGGGAAGCGGUACCAACAUAAGAAGUGACGGCUAAAUACGUGCCAGCAGCCGCGGUAAUUC